CACGUGUUGACAGGGCGUCAUGAAGGGAGCAAAGCACCUCGGCCUCUAUUGGCGGUUGGAUUUUGAUCAGCAUAAACUAAUAUGUUCCUCUUGUGUCAUCUCCAUCUCCAAGAAACCAUGACAAAUUGAUUGCGUUUGUUUUCGGGGACCUUUGGUGAGAGCGAAGAAGCGGUCCGACACCGAGCGUCCUACCUGAGAGGAGCACGGCGUGGUCGCAGGUCUGGUAGAGGCGGCAGGCGAGGGAACGUGAAUCAGAAUGUCACUCAACCUAUGACGGCCAACAACCAUGAUCUAUGCAAAUGUAAAACUGUUAUCGUCUUAAUCUGAGUUCGGUGGAGACUCCUGCAACGUGGUUAGCGUGGAGACCGGAACAAGGGGGACAUUGGUACCCUGCAACAAAAGAGGGAGAGCAGACCUUCUUCUGUGGAGUUCUGCUGAGCCUCGAGAGAAGGAACCUACCGACACACUUGAGCCUCUGCGUUCGGUUGCUGUCUCCGGCUCCGACCACCAGCGGAAGGAAGUGGACUUCACAGAGCCCCCCGACGGGCCGCUCCACCAGACGGCUUCCACCGCCAGUGGUGGUGACGCUAGCGCGCAGCGGCCCGCCGGCCAGUCGAUGCCCGUUACCCAUGAGCCUCUCCGGCCCGGCUUGGCGACGCUUCAGCUGGUUCUGGCAACGGCCCUUCAGAGCCAGAGUCAAACACUCCUCGCCUGGAGACACAGAAGACGCCCUGAUGAUAAAGGUUUAGCUCGUUUGUCGCGCUGGGAAAUCAACGGGCCGUCACUUUAAACUCGGUCGACAGGUGAGUGAGAACAAGUGUUGAAGGGAGACAGAGAGAGUUUCGGGGAGGAUUUGCUCGCUUGUGUUGCAUCUCAAUUGAAUCCAGCUCGGCAUCUCUGGCUCUGCAUCCCCUCGCCAGGUUAAAUGGGGUCUCAAGAAAGUUUCACUUUAAAAGACUUUGGUCCAAGAACCCUCUACAAGACCCAGCAGGGGGCUCAGCGCUGUGUGUGUGUGUGUGUAUGAAUAAUUGAAGGGCCAAAUUCACCUCAGCAUCCGGCCCUAACCGCUCUCACAGCAGGAAGUCAACAAUCUGCACUUUCAAACUCGUCUCUCCUGCAGGACUUGUGAGGACCAUCACAGAAACGAUGUCCCCUUGGACUGUUUCUACACGGAUGAAGCACUUU
ensembl:lncRNA